UACGAAGGGGGCAAGCGUUGUUCGGAAUUACUGGGCGUAAAGGGCGCGUAGGCGGUGCGCUAAGUCAGGCGUGAAAGCCCUGGGCUCAACCCGGGAAUUGCGCUUGAUACUGGCGUGCUCGAAUCCGGGAGAGGUUGGUGGAAUUCCCAGUGUAGAGGUGAAAUUCGUAGAGAUUGGGAAGAACACCGGUGGCGAAGGCGGCCAACUGGACCGGCAUUGACGCUGAGGCGCGAAAGCGUGGGGAGCAAACAGG
rnacentral:rRNA from 1 species